UACGAAGGGAGCUAGCGUUGUUCGGAAUCACUGGGCGUAAAGCGCACGUAGGCGGACGUGUCAGUCAGGGGUGAAAUCCCGGAGCUCAACUUCGGAACUGCCUUUGAUACAGCACGUCUUGAGUCCGGAAGAGGUGGGUGGAAUUCCUAGUGUAGAGGUGAAAUUCGUAGAUAUUAGGAAGAACACCAGUGGCGAAGGCGGCUCACUGGCCCGGUACUGACGCUGAGGCGCGAAAGCGUGGGGAGCAAACAGG
rnacentral:rRNA from 1 species